GGUUCAUCGGGCGCACACCCAAAUUCGAUUAUGUACUGUGGUUCCUUGCAAAGUGGAUAGAUCUUGAAUUGGAUUUAUGCUAGUUCUUCAAAUUCAGUAAAAUCAAAAGGGCUAGCUAAACGCUCUUAAUAAACUUAGCAAGUUCCGAGGAGUUGAAUAUACGCACCACUUGGAUAUAAUUCAACUCAUGCCCUCCCCAUGGUUAGUGAUACGAUCUAGUCCCACUUCCUUCUCUCAAAAGCUUGUAUUGCACGUUGGAAAGUUUUUUCUAAAAAUGGUAUAUUUUCUGUGAAACAAACGGAUUCCAAAAUUGUACAUUCAAAACUACAUGAUAAGGGGAUCAUUAGAGAUGAUCAUGAAAAUUAAGUUUGUGGUUUUAUCUGUCACAACGAGGGCACGACUAGUGUACUUUUUAUUCAUCUUAUGUAAAGGUUUAUGUUUGUUGAUGCUGCUAGCCCAGGGAAGAACUUCAUGUAAUUCCUCCGCACUUUUAGCUUAUUAUACGGGUCUUGCUAUGGUGCCGGGACACACAAAGCGUGGCAAAGUUGCGGUGCGAGCUAAAAACUGUCAGAUCAAGCCAGUGUCCCGAUGCAAAGCACGGUAAAGUUGUCACGCAAAGCUAUCAGCUGUCGGAUCAAGGAGAUUGAUUGUCGAUCGUCGGAUCAAGAGAUGCUCUACAUCGUCGGAUCAAGGCGGUGCCGUGAUGCACAGCAUGACAAAGUCGUCCAUACCGAUUGCCGGAGUUUAUCCUAGGCAGUCAGUGAAGAAAUUGCUUCACAUUUAUUCUCCAAAUUACAUGUUCUCUCAGUACAAACUGCAAGUUAAUGACAUGCCCCCAAGGGCUUGUUGGUGCACAUUCUUCCAUCUAAUCUCUCCUUUUGACUAAAGACGAUGAAAGGCUUUCGAGUCAACCUCGACUACUUUAAAGUUUAAACUCAACCACCAACUAAAUUUCUCCUCACAGGCCACGGGCAACUGGAUUAUUGACUCAAACGGACGGCGACAUAACCGUCGGAUCUUCUCUGACCGCGGAAAAGGACAACACUUCAUGGAUUUCGCCUUCGGGGGACUUUGCAUUCGGCUUUCAUCAAUUACCUGCCAACCCCAACAACGAUGGCGAGGUCUUCUUGCUCUCCGUUUGGUAUGACAGGAUACCUUCAAGAACAAUCGUCUGGUUCGCAAGCGGAGAUCGUCCUGCACCUGAAAAUUCGAAGCUAGAGCUCUCUUCCAACCUUGGCCUGGUUCUCACUGAUCCGCGAGGAGAAAGGUUGUGGAUAUCGGAGAACAUUGUUGGUAUAGUCUCGCAUGCUACUAUGAACGACAUGGGCAAUUUUUUGAUUCUCGGUUCGAAUUUGGAGAAACUAUGGGAAAGCUUCGAAGAUCCUCACGACACAUUGCUUCCUUCACAAACGCUGGGAAAAAAAAAGUUCCUUUCCUCUCGUCAAUCAGAGGGAAACUUUUCCAGAGGAAAAUUCCAGCUUCGGAUGCUGGACAGCGGAGACCUCAUACUCAACACCAUAUACCAGCCUUCCAGUUAUGCAAACGAACCUUAUUACAGCACUGGAACUGCCCGAGAUUCCAAGAUGUCGAGCCCCGGGAAAGAAAACAUGUUCGACGACUCG